rnacentral:rRNA from 1 species
AUUGAACGCUGGCGGCAGGCCUAACACAUGCAAGUCGAGCGGCAGCGGGAAAGUAGCUUGCUACUUUUGCCGGCGAGCGGCGGACGGGUGAGUAAUGCCUGGGAAAUUGCCCAGUCGAGGGGGAUAACAGUUGGAAACGACUGCUAAUACCGCAUACGCCCUACGGGGGAAAGCAGGGGCCUUCGGGCCUUGCGCGAUUGGAUAUGCCCAGGUGGGAUUAGCUAGUUGGUGAGGUAAUGGCUCACCAAUGCGACGAUCCCUAGCUGGUUUGAGAGCGUGAUCAGCCACACUGGAACUGAGACACGGUCCAGACUCCUACGGGAGGCAGCAGUGGGGAAUAUUGCACAAUGGGCGCAAGCCUGAUCCAGCCAUGCCGCGUGUGUGAAGAAGGCCUUCGGGUUGUAAAGCACUUUCAGUAGGGAGGAAGGGUGUUGUGUUAAUAGCACAGCAUUUUGACGUUACCUACAGAAGAAGCACCGGCUAACUCUGUGCCAGCCGCCGCCGUAAAAC